rnacentral:rRNA from 1 species
GAAGCGGCAACAGCUCAAAUUUGAAAUCUGGCGCAAGCCCGAGUUGUAAUUUGUAGAGGAUGCUUCAGGGCAGCGGCCGGUCUAAGUUCCUUGGAACAGGACGUCAUAGAGGGUGAGAAUCCCGUAUGCGACCGGUUGGCACCCGUCACGUAGCUCCUUCGACGAGUCGAGUUGUUUGGGAAUGCAGCUCUAAAUGGGAGGUAAAUUUCUUCUAAAGCUAAAUACCGGCCAGAGACCGAUAGCGCACAAGUAGAGUGAUCGAAAGAUGAAAAGCACUUUGGAAAGAGAGUUAAAAAGCACGUGAAAUUGUUGAAAGGGAAGCGCAUGCAACCAGACUUGUCGGCGGUGUUCCGCCGGUCUUCUGACCGGUCUACUCGCCGCCGGCAGGCCAGCAUCAUCUGGGCGCGCCGGAUAAAGGCGUGGGGAAUGUAGCUCCUCGGAGUGUUAUAGCCCCGCGCACAAUACGGCGCCGCUCGGGUGAGGUCCGCGCUUCGGCUAGGAUGCUGGCGUAAUGGUUGUCUGCGGCCCGUCUUGAAACACGGACCAAGGAGUCUAACAUCUAUGCGAGUGUUCGGGUGUCAAACCCCUACGCGUAAUGAAAGUGAACGGAGGUGGGAAGCGCAAGCUGCACCAUCGACCGAUCCUGAUGUCUUCGGAUGGAUUUGAGUAAGAGCAUAGCUGUUGGGACCCGAAAGAUGGUGAACUAUGCCUGAAUAGGGUGAAGCCAGAGGAAACUCUGGUGGA